GACAUAGGUGGCGAACGUUAUCCGGAAUUAUUGGGCGUAAAGGAUGCGUAGAUGGCGUGAUAAGUUAUCAGUGGCAAAUCGGGGCUCAACCUCGUGGAAGCUGUUAAUACUAUCAUGCUUGAGUUCAGGAGAAGUUAACGGAACUCCAUGUGGAGCGGUAAAAUGUGACGAUAUAUGGAAGAACACCGAUAAGGCGAAGGCAGUUAACUAUUUUGUUACUGACAUUGAGGCAUGAAAGCGUGGGGAGCAAAACGG
rnacentral:rRNA from 1 species